CAGCAGUAGCCGCGGGAAUACAGAGGGUGCGAGCGUUAAUCGGAUUUACUGGGCGUAAAGCGUGCGUAGGCGGCUUCUUAAGUCGGAUGUGAAAUCCCUGAGCUUAACUUAGGAAUUGCAUUCGAUACUGGGAAGCUAGAGUAUGGGAGAGGAUGGUAGAAUUCCAGGUGUAGCGGUGAAAUGCGUAGAGAUCUGGAGGAAUACCGAUGGCGAAGGCAGCCAUCUGGCCUAAUACUGACGCUGAGGUACGAAAGCAUGGGGAGCAAACAGGAUUAGAUACCCCUGUAGUCCCUGUCUCUUAUAC
rnacentral:rRNA from 1 species